rnacentral:tRNA from 1 species
GGGAAGUUGGCUCAGUGGUAGAGCGCUUGCCUUGCAUGCCUGAGGCCCUGGGUUCG